CACGUAGUUAGCCGUGACUUUCUGGCGGGGCACCAUCAGUCAGCACCCAUUUCCUGAUGCUGCCUUUUUUCCCCCGCAACAGAGCUUUACGACCCGAAGGCCUUCUCCACUCACGCGGCAUCGCUCGUUCAGGCUUGCGCCCAUUGACGAAAAUUCCCUACUGCUGCCUCCCGCAGGAGUCUGGGCCGUGUCUCAGUCCCAAUGUGGCCGUCCGCCCUCUCAGGCCGGCUAUGCAUCAUCGUCUUGGUGGGCCUUUACCCGCCAACAAACUAAUGCACCGCAGGUCCAUCCGCGCCCCAUCCCCGAAAGGAUGUUUCACAGAAAGAGAUGCCUCCUCCUGACAUCGGGAUUUGUCUCCGUUUCCAGAGCGUAUUCCCGGUGCGACGGGCAGGUUCCCUAGUGUUACUCACCCGUUCGCCACUAGACGACCCGAAGGUCUCUCGUUCGACUUGCAUGUAUUAGGCAGUCGCCGCCAGCGUUCACUCCUGACGACCCAGGACUCGUAAA
rnacentral:rRNA from 1 species